GACGAACGCUGGCGGCGUGCCUAAUACAUGCAAGUCGAACGCAGUGGGGACGGGUGAGUAACACGAGGGUAACCUUCCCUCAGCGGGGAUAACAAUUGGAAACAGGUGCUAAACCGAUACUGAUGGAUGCACCCGCGGUGCAUUAGCGAGUUGGUGAGGUAACGGCUAACAAAGGCCACGAUGCAGAGCGUACCUGAGAGUGUGAUCGGCAACACGGGGACUGAGACACGGCCCAGACUCCUACGGGAGGCAGCAGUAGGGAAUCUUCGGCAAUGGACGAAAGUCUGACCGAGCAACGCCGCGUGAGUGAAGAAGGUUUUCGGAUCGUAAAACUCUGUUGUUAGAGAAGCGGUAUCUAACCAGAAAGCCACGGCUAACUACGUGCCAGCAGCCGCGGUAAUAC
rnacentral:rRNA from 1 species